rnacentral:tRNA from 1 species
GGGGUUGUGGCUCAGUGGCAGAGUGUUCACCUAGCAUGUGUAAGGCACUGGGUUUGAUUCUCAGCACCA